UGGUGGAGUGAUUUGUCUGGUUAAUUCCGUUAACGAACGAGACCUCAGCCUGCUUUUGUAGUCGGCCGUAUGCCUUCGGGCCUACGCCGUCCCGACUUCUUAGAGGGACUAUCGAUGUUGCAGUCGAUGGAAGUUUGAGGCAAUAACA
rnacentral:rRNA from 1 species